CAGAUAGCUCAGUCGGUAGAGCAGAGGACUGAAAAUCCUCGUGUCGCUGGUUCGAUUCCGGCUCUG
rnacentral:tRNA from 1 species